CAUCAUGUGAGUGUAAGAUUGCUCUGGAUUCUGGUUAUGUGGCCUGCAGCACCUAUAAGAACAAGCUCGUACAGUGUGCCUGCAUUCCAGCUUCUUAGACUCUACGCAAGUGGACAGAGUAUCAGUGUUUGGCCACCCUUACAGACACCGACUUCUGUCAACUCACUGCUACUGAUCAGGCACCUCACUCCAGGAAGACAGAGGGCUGCAAGCCUGUCAUCGUUUCCAGUGUGGCUUUGUAUUCUUGGGGUAGUAUCAGAUUUUUCCCACAAAUAUUCAAAGAUUUAUAUGCAGUGAUCGGAUGUGGUGGAGCUUUGUUAACUGUGUGGAAAACAUCUGUUUGUGAUUAUAUUUACAAUGAGGCUUUAAGGUGACAGUUUCCAUGUAAUUUCAAUCCUUUUACUAAGCAAAAACAUGUUUGUAAUUAACAUAUUUUUUUCAGUUUUGUCUUUUGGAUUUAUGGUUAACAUUCCUCCGUGACAGCAAAUACUAAACUGGUCCAAGUAACCAGCAUAUCAUUGGUCAAAGGCAAAAAGGACCACAUGUCACACUAGCAAUGAAUUUUUGACUGUGUUUGUGUCACCAGAUUUAACAAACAAUAUCAGACAUAUGAAACUGAACUCUGGAUUAAUGUGCAGAUGUUUUUUGUGUUUUUUUUAAAUUGUUGAAUAAUUAUUUU